UGAUAAAAAACUAAGGGAAGGGAUCCCAGAAGGAAUAUCAUGAUUUUCCCCUUCACAUAUUUUCAGCAGUGCCUGGUUAACUCUGUCUCUUUUUUGCUCAAGUCAGAGGGAAAUAAUGUGAUGUUUAAAGACUUCAGUGAUCAUCUAGUUAUCGCCUUCUACCUGCUAGAUAAAUAAACUGCACCUCUGACAGCUAACUUAGCUGGGCCCAAAUCGUUUGUUGCUGGAAGAGGCAGAGCUAAUGACCCUUCCUUUUCCCAUCAGCCCUUGCUCCAGUUAUGACCAACUGAACACUCACUUGGCCAGCUGGUGGCUCCACGCCCAGACGCCAGCUUCUCCACUGCCAUUGGUUUGUGAACUGUCCGUGUGUUUGAGCAAAGUUGAAAGGAAAAAUAAAGGAAAACUGAGGAUCCAGAGGAGAAGACAGAACCUGCUGACCAGCUCCAUUUUCUUUCAGCACCAGUCGAAACAGUUCCCCCUUUGCUCUGUUCCACCAUCCUCAACUCUCUUCAGGGCUGGCUGGCUCUCCACACACUUUGAGAAUUGUGACUCUGCUUGUGGGUUGGAAUCCCACAGGUAUGGAGCCCAAGGUGAAACCACCCUUCUGGGAGAGAUGACAAGAAGCUCAGUUUUUCCUCAUCUAGACUCUGCCUCUGUGAGUUCGUUGAUUCCUGCCUGGCUCAGUGACCAACGUGAUGGAAAGAGAAGCUGAGAAAAGAACCGGUGUGUCCUUCUUUCAUGCUAGCAUCUCCGUAUUCGAUGGGAGAACAUGGCCCACACUGAGAAGGCAGAAGAGAUUCAGGCGUGUGGGAGGUGACAUGGAGCCCCGCAAAGGUGUCCUAGGGGAGACCGCCCUGCACCAGUCAACUGCAAACCCAGGACCAUGGGGUCAGGAUGAAGGCCAGGCAAGAGACAGCCCCACUGCUGCAAAACUUAAAGAAACUCAGAAAGAAGAAUAAAUUAUAUUUAAUGCAAUAAUCAAAAAUCACAACUAACCAAGAGUCAAUCCACAAUGAGCAAAGUACAUGCUAAAUACCACAGGGUAAAUGUCCUGUGUGUCCUUUCAACUCCUACCGAUCCAGCCUCUCAGCCCAACCCAUGACUCAGGAAAUAAAGGAUUUCUGCAUUGAGCUCCUACAUUUGAAGAGCAUUUCCUACAUGCCAAUGGCAGGCUGACAGGAAACUUUUAUUCCAAGGUCUCAUGGACAGUACCUGGGGCAAUGUUGGGAUCUAGAACUCUAAUCACACUACUGCCACAAGGUAACAUCCACA
rnacentral:lncRNA from 1 species